rnacentral:lncRNA from 1 species
GAAGAGGGUGUUAUAUUGUUUUUACUCACCAGUCAUGAUAGAUUCCAAUGAGUCCUCGUUCAUAUACAACUCCAAGUCUAUUCUUUUCAGCAAUGGUGGGGACAACAUUCAUAACCCAAAGCUUUUGUGAUUCUAUAGCAGCAGCAAAUCCACCAAACCCUGCGUUCAUGUCCAUGAUGUUACGGUACCUUCCUGUGUCAAGUAGACUGUUGAUUCUCUUAUAGGCCUUCACAUGUUUCUUCCACUGUCUGUUAUCGUCUUCAUAGGCAUCGACCGUGACACCAGAGAUGGAACCGCUAGAGAUCCUAGGAGGCACUGCGUUAAGUCUGUCAGGGAAAGCCUGAAGUUCCCCUCCAGCUACCUCAUCUGAGCUACUUGUCUCCGGAUACGGUGUAAUACAUGCCUCCAUUUUCUUGUACCAGACAUCAUCGGUGUCAUCAGUUUUGCAGAAGUUGGCUCUAGGAUCAUCUUGUCUUGAACGGCAUGCAUCAUCAUUGACUCUCUUCUGCCAAAUGGCGAUCUCUCCGUGUUCAUACUUCUUCUCCCAACAAAGAAGCUUAGCAGUUUCCUCAAUCUUUCUUUGUUCCUCUUGAAGCUCCUCCUUGGGACGUUGCCACGCCUUGUAGUUGAUUUUCCAGUUGAUUGGAGGACCAGAUAGAAUCCAGUACCCACCAGGUCUAAGCACACGGUCAACUUCCAUCAAGUACAUACCAUCUGUUUAAAACACCAACACAAGAUUAAGAAACUGAAUCGUUUGUUAAAGAAGUAGAAACUAGUGCUCACCAUUUGCUCCCCAUGGAAUCAAACAUCUUGAGCAAUGAGCCAUGUCGAAAGCCCUAGUUGGAUACGGCAGCUUUAUGGUACCAAGAACACCAAUAACAGCAGGAACACCUCUCUCUAGCGCAAACUGAACCUGAGCCUCGUGUGAAUCUCUCGGUGCAAAAUUGCACGUACAUUCCUGCUCCAUAGGUACGCUCCCCAGCUUGCAACCUAACCAAAACGUCUUCAGUUUAGCUACCACAAACUCAGACAAGGACAAACCAAACAUAAAGAGAGAUUAAUUACCCCACAACCAGUGUCCAAAGCAGUCCUAACAGUACCAUUCCCCAUGGGUAUCACAGAAGCAAGCUGAUCAAUAUACUUAUCAGCCCCCUGAGGGAACUGAGUCCCACCUCCAGGGAACCUAAAAACCUCACCCUCAUACUGAAUCCAAUUCUGAAUCGCCUUCUCAACAGUCAAUGCCUUAUACGGCGCAUUAGCAUAAGGCACAUAGUCUCUACUCUUAGGCCAAGAGAAAGGCGUAACGUAUCCCUUAGGCGCGGGGACAAGGCAACGAAGCUUCUCACUCUCUGGAGCGCAGUGCCUUUCGCGGUAAAUCAUGCUGUCUCUAGGGAACGUCAUCGCACGCCUCUGGUCUUGGCAGGGAGUGUAAUCAGUGUAAAGAGCAUCGCACGGCUCGAAAGUUUUGACCUUUGCUGAGGAACCAGAGAUGCUCGACUCUCCUGCGUGGUGUGUCUCGAAGUUUAGGCUUGGGACGAUGUUGCAGUCAGCUCCACUGUUUGUCAUCUGGAGGGCUAUGCUGUCUCCUUUGCCGAAGCCGCUUCGUUGCCAUGCUCCGAGGAUGUAGAAGAAGCAACAUAGGCUGAAGACGAUGAAGAUCUGAACAGAGCUUCUGGUUUUGUUGUCAGCAGAAGUCGACUUUAUCGCCAUGAUUGGUCUAAAAAGAAUGGAACAAAACUCAGAUCAGCUCCAUAGGAUAUAAGAAAACAGAUCAAAGAGGGAAAAAGUGUGAAUCUGUUGGAUUUGAAUCAGCAAACAAGACAUAAGAACAGAUUGACAUCAAGACAAUGAUACUAAGGUAUGUCUUCAGGAAGAAGCAAAAGAUCAAUACUUUACGACGUUAUUAAACAAAUAUCCGCAAAGAUUAACGAAAACAUUUUAUUAUACAAAGAGAAUGUGAACAGAUUGAGAAAAAAAUAACAAAAGUAACAACACCCCAUGUGGCAAAAAACAUAAGGAGACGGGAACUAAAAGUAGAUUUGUCGGAAUGAAGAAAUAAGAACAUACAGCAGAAUCUGGGAGAUAGAAUUGGCUAAUCAGAAGCUGUUGUUAUCGGUGGGGAUGGUGAUUGGUGAUUGGUGGAGAAGAAAGGGAUUGAAUGAAACGUGUAAUAAGAUAGAUUGUGGAGAACCCUAGUUUAUGAUGUUAAUCGUCAUCAUAAUGACCUCAACAUGGGAUGCGGUGAUGAUAAAUAAAGCUGGCGACUUUGUGUGUGAGGGAGAAAACUAUUUUGCCCUUUUUAAAACUGAGCCAUAUAGAGAGAUAGAGAGAAGGGGGGAACUGUGCAGAUCUAAUCGACGUCUCAUAUAUUUUUGUAUUUAACCUAAAAUUGACGGAAAUUUAUAAUUAAAGCCAUUACAUUUGAGAAAAUACAUCUAAACAAAGAAAAAGGGAGAAAAAGAAAAAGUUGAUUUUGUCUUUAGUUAAUUAUAAUUGUUUUUCAUACUUUUUUAAAAAAGGGGCUUACUAUUACUUUCCAUGCUUUUAUUUUUAUUUUAUGUAGCUUUUUCCAUCUAGAGUUAAUCUCAAAAAAUGAUUUCUUUUACAGUUAAAUGCAUAACCGAGAAAUAUUUUUAUUUUUGUCGGCCAAAUUGAGAGAGAUUACUUGUUACGCUUCAAGUAGUGAGUGACUUUCAAGUUUCAAUAAAUAAGUCAUCAUAGUUGCAUGAAUUAUGAAGGUAAGUUUUAAUUAGUACUGAGUAGGGAAGAACAUACCUCUGAACAUAGGACCCUAUCAUCUGUGAAUUAUAAAAAAGCAUGUUAUGUCUGCAAAACCGCGUUGUGAUCGUACCUCCCAUGAUGAUUUGUAUUUGGAUCCGACGGCUCCCAUGUAAUUUUUGCUGUUGGUUCUUUUCAUAGUAGUAGCAUAAGGCGCAUCCACAGAUCCACACGGCGUGCUCGUUAAGACGUGACAUUAUUUUAAGAAUUUUGCUUAGAGACACUUUCCAACUUUCUAAUUACAUAUUACAAGAUUCUUCACACUUGAAACACAAAACACACUUUGUGUCUGACUGGUGAUCAUUCGAGAAAUAAAAGAAACGAAUAAAAAAAGAAUGUACGGAAAUAAAAUAACAAGAAUGAAAAUGAAAGAUUGUUCCUUAUCAAAUUUAACAAGGAAUAAUUUUGUUCUUUAAUUCUUUACAAAAAAAAGAAUGAAAGAGAAUGAGAGGAAAUUAUUAUUCCUCAUGAAUGGUGAUUUUUUUUUAGGAACUUUAGGAAAUGAAUUAUUCCUCGCCGUUGUUCCCUGGUCACCAUUCAUAUUAUUUCUCUUGUGAAAAUAACUCAUAUGACCCUAAACUAAAGAGACACCUCUCCCUUCUUUCUUAUGCAUCACACUAAUAUAUUUCCUCUUCUUAUUCUACUUUAUUUUUUUUUCAUUUCACUUUAUGAUUUCAUUUACUUUUUUCUCAAAUUUUAAAAUAUAUUAAACAAAAAUAAUUGUCACAACAAAUUAUAUAUAAAACUAUCUAUCUUUUAAGAUCUAUUUUUAUAUAUAUUAUAUAUAUAUAUAUAUAUAUAAUCUCAUUCCAGAUAUGAUUCUCUUCACCUUGAUCAAUGUGUCCACAUCGUCUCGGAUUAUAACUGCUCCUUCUGGACGGAGUAUUCUAUCCAUCUCCAGAAGAAUGUCAUCCGCAUUGCACCUACAACGAUUCAUUAGUCUCAAAAACACACACAUCCAAUAGACAAGUGUCUGGUUAAAAGCGAGACACACUUACUUGUUCUUGUACAGACUGAAGAGGUGGUUGGCAUGGAUUAAGUCGUAUGUUCUUGGGUAUGUAGAGAAAGCCUCACACCUGAAACACACAUAUUAAACACCACAACAAAGUCUCUAAUGAGCUUUUUGAGAAGUUGUCAGAAGAAGAGGGUGUUAUAUUGUUUUUACUCACCAGUCAUGAUAGAUUCCAAUGAGUCCUCGUUCAUAUACAACUCCAAGUCUAUUCUUUUCAGCAAUGGUGGGGACAACAUUCAUAACCCAAAGCUUUUGUGAUUCUAUAGCAGCAGCAAAUCCACCAAACCCUGCGUUCAUGUCCAUGAUGUUACGGUACCUUCCUGUGUCAAGUAGACUGUUGAUUCUCUUAUAGGCCUUCACAUGUUUCUUCCACUGUCUGUUAUCGUCUUCAUAGGCAUCGACCGUGACACCAGAGAUGGAACCGCUAGAGAUCCUAGGAGGCACUGCGUUAAGUCUGUCAGGGAAAGCCUGAAGUUCCCCUCCAGCUACCUCAUCUGAGCUACUUGUCUCCGGAUACGGUGUAAUACAUGCCUCCAUUUUCUUGUACCAGACAUCAUCGGUGUCAUCAGUUUUGCAGAAGUUGGCUCUAGGAUCAUCUUGUCUUGAACGGCAUGCAUCAUCAUUGACUCUCUUCUGCCAAAUGGCGAUCUCUCCGUGUUCAUACUUCUUCUCCCAACAAAGAAGCUUAGCAGCUUCCUCAAUCUUUCUUUGUUCCUCUUGAAGCUCCUCCUUGGGACGUUGCCACGCCUUGUAGUUGAUUUUCCAGUUGAUUGGAGGACCAGAUAGAAUCCAGUACCCACCAGGUCUAAGCACACGGUCAACUUCCAUCAAGUACAUACCAUCUGUUUAAAACACCAACACAAGAUUAAGAAACUGAAUCGUUUGUUAAAGAAGU